GUGGGGAAUAUUGCACAAUGGGCGCAAGCCUGAUGCAGCAACGCCGCGUGAGGGAUGACGGCCUUCGGGUUGUAAACCUCUUUUAGUAGGGAAGAAGCGAAAGUGACGGUACCUGCAGAAAAAGCACCGGCUAACUACGUGCCAGCAGCCGCGGUAAUACGUAGGGUGCAAGCGUUGUCCGGAAUUAUUGGGCGUAAAGAGCUCGUAGGCGGCUUGUCGCGUCUGCUGUGAAAACCCGAGGCUCAACCUCGGGCCUGCAGUGGGUACGGGCGAGCUAGAGUGCGGUAGAGGAGAUUGGAAUUCCUGGUGUAGCGGUGGAAUGCGCAGAUAUCAGGAGGAACACCGAUGGCGAAGGCAGAUCUCUGGGCCGUAACUGACGCUGAGGAGCGAAAGCAUGGGGAGCGAACAGGAUUAGAAACCCCGGUAGUCC
rnacentral:rRNA from 1 species